UGAGGCUUGUGGUGGCCUCCUUAGCUUUCUCCUGCCCAUCAGUUACUCUGGCUACCAUGGUUUCAUGCUUCUGUGCUGCGAAGCAGAGGGAGCUUCCAGGGCUGUGCUAGGACGAGCAGCUCUGUAUUUGGCCUAAUCUCAGAUCAGAACUGAAGGUUGGAGGCGUAACUCACAACCGUGGUGCCUGUUUAAAGGGAAAAGCUACAAAACUAGAGAGCAAAUGAAUGCGUGCAUGUCCAUCCACCACAGAAGACUUUUUGCAGCAUUUUAAUGAGGCGCGAAUGGAGUUGCAACGCUCCUGAGAAAGGCUCACCCCGUGCAGCCUCCCUGCCAUCAUGGCUCUGGCCUCCCACAGAGAGCAAACCAAGAGAGCAGCUGGAAGCGCACUGCCUUUUAUGACCUAGCCUUAGCAGUCACAUGCCAUCGCCGCCGCCUUGUCCGGCUGGUCACACAGGCCAGCUCUAAGUUUGAUUAAACAGAUGGAAUUCCACGCAAAUGGAAAGUUGUGAAGGCGGACACCUCUAUAGCACAUAAAACAGCAGUGAACAAAAGUGGUGGGAAGCCACUGAAAUGAAAGGCGGGCAGAAUGGUUUCUAGCAUCACACCUUUUACAACCAUGCUCUGCUGCUUUGAGCCUUCGCACUCAAAAUCCAAGUUUUGUGACAAUAAGAACAAGUGAUGUUUUUACUUGUGAAAUGCUCGAACUCCUUUCUAACCGUCAGAGAAUGAAGUGGGUGAUUGCCUGGAAAGCGACUCAUACAUUCCUUGAACAUUUCUCUCAAAAAGUAAUUCUUUGUUGCACAUGUAAAGGAAGCCCUGGGAGCUACAGUAAAUGUGAGAGUUUGAUUCUGAAUAAAAACUACUGAAAUUUAUGGUCAGGAGUCUUCAUUUUGGAUAGAGAUGUGACGGGCAUGUCAAAAGUCAACCAAAAAUUUGUCACAAGUGGCUGUGGCCCAAGGAAGCACAGGCUGCCUAAUUGUGUGCCGUCACGGGAACUGGCCACACUCAGAGACAGCAAGCGAUUCCACCAGCGUAACGGUAAACAACGCUCCCAGGAAACCUUCCAAUA